UUGGAAGUUAAAAAUCGUAACAAGGUCUCCGUUGGUGAACCAGCGGAGGGAUCAUUGCUGGAACGCGCCCCAGGCGCACCCAGAAACCCUUUGUGAACUUAUACCUUUUGUUGCCUCGGCGCAUGCUGGCCCCUACGGGGUCCCCUGGAGACAGGGAGCAGGCACGCCGGCGGCCAAGUUAACUCUUGUUUUUACACUGAAACUCUGAGAAAAAACACAAAUGAAUCAAAACUUUCAACAACGGAUCUCUUGGUUCUGGCAUCGAUGAAGAACGCAGCGAAAUGCGAUAAGUAAUGUGAAUUGCAGAAUUCAGUGAAUCAUCGAAUCUUUGAACGCACAUUGCGCCCUCUGGUAUUCCGGAGGGCAUGCCUGUUCGAGCGUCAUUUCAACCCUCAAGCAUUGCUUGGUGUUGGGGCACUGCUUUUAACGAAGCAGGCCCUGAAAUCUAGUGGCGAGCUCGCCAGGACCCCGAGCGUAGUAGUUAAACCCUCGCUUUGGAAGGCCCUGGCGGUGCCCUGCCGUUAAACCCCCAACUUUGAAAAUUGACCUCGAUCAGGUGGAAGGCCCCC
rnacentral:rRNA from 1 species